ensembl:lncRNA
CAGCUGUACCACGAGCGACAGGUUUAUAUUCAUGCGCAUGUUCUGAUACGUUAUCACUUCUAUAGUAACAGCUCGUACGCCGCGGACGCUCCACUUAAUCUAUCACUAAGAAGAAGAAAAAAAUACAUAUUAUCGUUGAUGUGGUGGAAUUUUUUUUUUUUUCCGUAUGGGACGUUUACUUAUUAGCGAGACAGAGAGAGGGAGACAGACUCACAGAGAGACUGAGAGAGAAAGAGAUGGAAAAAGAGAGAGAAGCAAAGACAGAGAGAGAGGCACGCAGACACACUGGGAGAUGGUGUGAGAGAGACUGAAAGAGAUAGAGAUCGAGACACAGACAGAGAUAUAUACAGAGAGAGAGAGAGACGGGCAGAGACGGAAUGAGAGAGACAGCGUGAGGGAGAGCGAAAGAGACAGAGAGAGACAUGGAGAGAGACGGAGAGAGACGCGCAGAGAGAUGUAGAGAGAGAGAGAGACGGAGAGAAAAGACGGAGAGAGAUAGAGACAGAGCGAGACACGGAUGUAGAGAGACCGAGAGAAAGACGGAGAGAGAUAGAGACAGAGCGAGACACGGAUAGAGAUAGAGACAGAGCGAGACACGGAUGUAGAGAGACAGAGAGAAAGACGGAGAGAGAUAGAGACAGAGCGAGACACGGAUGUAGAGAGACCGAGAGAGACAGAGAGAAAGACGGAGAGAGAUAGAGACAGAGCGAGACACGGAUGUAGAGAGACAGAGAGAAAGAUGGAGAGAGAUAGAGACAGAGCGAGACACGGAUGUAGAGAGACAGAGAGAAAGACGGAGGAGAGACAGAGACAGAGCGAGACACUGAUGUAGAGAGACAGAGAGAAAGACGGAGAGAGAUAGAGACAGAGCGAGACACGGAUGUAGAGAGACCGAGAGAAAGACGGAAGGAUAUAAGAGAGAGACAGAAACAGACAGAGAGAGAAGGUUCAGGUUGUGGACAGGUCAGUGUGUUUAACUCCGUCUCCUUCCGCCAUCUGCUGCAGAGGGUAAAUAUAAAGCACGGUGUGGAAAACAUCCACAUUGUGUGUAGACCUGAUCACAGCAGGACUCAGGUUCCAUCCAGCCACUACAGAGAAGCUCAGAUUAGACCUCGGAUCAGAGCAGGUGUUCAGAUUUAAAC